rnacentral:rRNA from 1 species
UUGGAGGGCAAGUCUGGUGCCAGCAGCCGCGGUAAUUCCAGCUCCAAUAGCGUAUAUUAAAGUUGUUGCAGUUAAAAAGCUCGUAGUUGAAUUUCGGGAUCAGAGUGUCGGUCGUGCCUCGGUACGCACUGGUAUUAUUGGUUCCUCUCUUCUGAAGAACCGCGAUGUCAUUAAUUUGGUGUCGUGGGGAAUCAGGACUGUUACUUUGAAAAAAUUAGAGUGUUUAAAGCAGGCUUACGCUUGAAUACAUUAGCAUGGAAUAAUGAAAUAGGACGUUUGAUUCUAUUUUGUUGGUUUCUAGGAUUGACGUAAUGAUUAAUAGGGAUAGUUGGGGGCAUUAGUAUUCAAUUGUCAGAGGUGAAAUUCUUGGAUUUAUUGAAGACUAACUACUGCGAAAGCAUUUGCCAAGGAUGUUUUCAUUAAUCAAGAACGAAAGUUAGGGGAUCGAAGACGAUCAGAUACCGUCGUAGUCUUAACCAUAAACUAUGCCGACUAGGGAUCGGAUGAUGUUAAUUUUUUAAUGACUCAUUCGGCGCCUUACGGGAAAC